CCAAUAGCGUAUAUUAAAGUUGUUGCAGUUAAAAAGCUCGUAGUUGAAUUUCGGGAUCAAGGAAUCGGUCAUGCCUCGGUAUGUACUGGUUUUAUUGGUUCUCACCUUCUAAAGAACCAUGAUGUCAUUCAUUUGAUGUUAUGGGGAAUUAGGACUGUUACCUUGAAAAAAUUAGAGUGUUUAAAGCAAGCUUACGCUUGAAUACAUUAGCAUGGAAUAAUGAAAUAGGACAUCCGAUUCUAUUUUGUUGGUUUCUAGGAUCGAUGUAAUGAUUAAUAGGGAUAGUUGGGGGCAUUAGUAUUCAAUUGUCAGAGGUGAAAUUCUUGGAUUUAUUGAAGACUAACUACUGCGAAAGCAUUUGCCAAGGAUGUUUUCAUUAAUCAAGAACGAAAGUUAGGGGAUCGAAGACGAUCAGAUACCGUCGUAGUCUUAACCAUAAACUAUGCCGACUAGGGAUCGGAUGAUGUUUAUUUUUUAGUGACUCAUUCGGCACCUUACG
rnacentral:rRNA from 1 species